rnacentral:rRNA from 1 species
AGUGAACGCUGGCGGUAGGCCUAACACAUGCAAGUCGAACGGCAGCACAGUAAGAGCUUGCUUCUACGGGUGGCGAGUGGCGGACGGGUGAGGAAUACAUCGGAAUCUACUUUUUCGUGGGGGAUAACGUAGGGAAACUUACGCUAAUACCGCAUACGACCUACGGGUGAAAGCAGGGGAUCUUCGGACCUUGCGCGAUUGAAUGAGCCGAUGUCGGAUUAGCUAGUUGGCGGGGUAAAGGCCCACCAAGGCGACGAUCCGUAGCUGGUCUGAGAGGAUGAUCAGCCACACUGGAACUGAGACACGGUCCAGACUCCUACGGGAGGCAGCAGUGGGGAAUAUUGGACAAUGGGCGCAAGCCUGAUCCAGCCAUACCGCGUGGGUGAAGAAGGCCUUCGGGUUGUAAAGCCCUUUUGUUGGGAAAGAAAAGCAGCAGGUUAAUACCCCGCUAUUCUGACGGUACCCAAAGAAUAAGCACCGGCUAACUUCGUG